CUCAUGUCCAGCUAAAUCAGCAACUUAUGUGAACUUGACAAUGUGGGUAAGUUGAGCACAGCAGGAUUCAAAACUGCCUCACGUGACUGCUACCGAGGUGCAUCAUGGGGAAUUGGCGGUUAACGACAUGCUCACUUUACUUGGACGUUUUCUAAUCGUCUUCUUUGGAAUAUGCUUUCAAGGUUUGUGAAGCCAAACUUGAUGCUGGGGAUUUAUUUUUGUCAGUGGAGUCAAAUGGUUGAAGCAGAAUUUGCCCCGUCUUACAUCUGUUGACCUGAAAGGGUUCCUUUUUGCUGUGCUUGACCAUUAUGGAGAGGUUCGUGGAGCUGUACAAAAUCAAGAGCGGCAUAGGAGGGCUAACUAGGCUCAUAAAAUGCUUCGGUGAUGAUAGCCCUACACAAAGGAAGAGGACAGAGGACCUCAUUUUCUAAAGGAAGAUCCCUCACACACUUUCAAGACUGUGAAGCCGACAGGUAUUGAAGACACGUUUUCUAAGAGGAUGAAAGUUGGCAUUGCGAUGGUGAAAGAAGAAGACAUCAUCGAUGUGUUGGUUGUCCUUGAGGCGGCAGUAAUCCUGUCUAAUCUGAGGAAUGUCUCAAGUGCCAUUUCCAUGCUGAUGGGCCUUUUUUUUGCCCUCAACAUAGACUAUCCAAAGGAACUUAAGGACAUCUUUGAAGUCAUUCAGAACAUCCUAAUGAACAUUGGUGGAAGGCAGUGCAUCUCACUAGUGCAUGGUCUAAGAAACAGAC
ensembl:lncRNA